GCCUGGGUGGCUCAGCUGGUUAGGCGACUGACUUCGGCUCAGUUCAUCAUCUCACCGUGAGUUCGAGUCCCGCAUCGGGCU
rnacentral:tRNA from 1 species